UGAACGCUGGCGGCGUGCCUAAUACAUGCAAAUCGAGCGAACAGACGAGGAGCUUGCUCCUCUGACGUUAGCGGCGGACGGGUGAGUAACACGUGGAUAACCUACCUAUAAGACUGGGAUAACUUCGGGAAACCGGAGCUAAUACCGGAUAACAUGUUGAACCGCAUGGUUCAACAGUGAAAGACGGUCUUGCUGUCACUUAUAGAUGGAUCCGCGCCGCAUUAGCUAGUUGGUAAGGUAACGGCUUACCAAGGCAACGAUGCGUAGCCGACCUGAGAGGGUGAUCGGCCACACUGGAACUGAGACACGGUCCAGACUCCUACGGGAGGCAGCAGUAGGGAAUCUUCCGCAAUGGGCGAAAGCCUGACGGAGCAACGCCGCGUGAGUGAAGAAGGUCUUCGGAUCGUAAAACUCUGUUAUUAGGGAAGAACAAAUGUGUAAGUAACUAUGCACGUCUUGACGGUACCUAAUCAGAAAGCCACGGCUAACUACGUG
rnacentral:rRNA from 1 species